rnacentral:rRNA from 1 species
CCUACGGUGGGCAGCAGUGGGGGAUAUUGCACAAUGGGGGAAACCCUGAUGCAGCGACGCCGCGUGUGGGAAGACGGUCCUCUGGAUUGUAAACCACUGUCCCCAGGGACGAAGAUGACGGUACCUGGGGAGGAAGCUCCGGCUAACUACGUGCCAGCAGCCGCGGUAAUACGUAGGGAGCGAGCGUUGUCCGGAAUUACUGGGUGUAAAGGGAGCGUAGGCGGGACUGCAAGUUGGGUGUCAAAUCUACCGGCUCAACCGGUAGCCGCACUCAAAACUGCAGUUCUUGAGUGAAGUAGAGGCAGGCGGAAUUCCUAGUGUAGCGGUGAAAUGCGUAGAUAUUAGGAGGAACACCAGUGGCGAAGGCGGGCUGCUGGGCUUUUACUGACGCUGAGGCUCGAAAGUGUGGGGAGCAAACAGGAUUAGAUACCCGAGUAGUA